rnacentral:rRNA from 1 species
GUACCCUACGGAGGCAGCAGUGAGGAAUAUUGGUCAAUGGUCGGGAGACUGAACCAGCCAAGCCGCGUGAGGGAGGAAGGUACAGAGUAUCGUAAACCUCUUUUGUCAGGGAACAAAGGCGGGGACGUGUCCCCGGAUGAGUGUACCUGAAGAAAAAGCAUCGGCUAACUCCGUGCCAGCAGCCGCGGUAAUACGGAGGAUGCGAGCGUUAUUCGGAUUUAUUGGGUUUAAAGGGUGCGCAGGCGGUCUGUUAAGUCAGCGGUCAA